rnacentral:rRNA from 1 species
UACGUAGGGCGCAAGCGUUAUCCGGAAUUAUUGGGCGUAAAGAGCUCGUAGGCGGUUUGUCGCGUCUGCCGUGAAAGUCCGGAGCUCAACUCCGGAUCGGCGGUCGAUACUCUCGUGCUUGAGCACUGUAGAGGCAGAUGGAAUUCCGGGUGUAGCGGUGGAAUGCGUAGAGAUCCGGAAGAACACCGGUGGCGAAGGCGGUCUGCUGGGCAGUUGCUGACGCUGAUGCGCGACAGCGUGGGGAGCAAACAGG